UAUGUGUUUGUUUUGUCUCUUUGUGUUUGUAUUGUUUCUCUUUGUGGUUGUUUUGUGUCUGUUUGUGUUUGUUUUGUGUCUCUUUGUGGUUGUUUUGUGUGUUUUAUUUUUGUUUUGUCUCUUUGUUUGUUUUGUGUCUAUUUGUGUUUUUUUGUCUCUUUGUGUUUGCUUUUGUCUCUAUGUGUUUGUUUUGUUUCUCUUUGUGGUUGUUUUGUGUCUCUUUGUGUUUGUUUUGUGUCUUUGUGUUAGUUUGUUGUCUCUUUGUGUUUGUUUUGUCUCUUUGUGUUUGUUUGUCUCUUUGUGUCUGUUUUGUGUCUCUUCGUGUUUGAUUUGUCUCUCUGUGUAUGUUUUGUCUCUUUGUGUUUGUGUUAUUUCUCUUUCUGGUUGUUUUGUGUCUUUAUGUUUGUUUUGUUUCUCUUUGUGGUUUCUUUGUGUCUGUUUGUGUUUGUUUUGUGUCUUUUGUUUUUGUUGUGUCUCUUUGUGUUUGUUUUGUCUCUAUUUGUGUUUUUUUGUCUCUUUGUGUUUGCUUUGUGUCUCUUUGUGGUUGUAUUGUCUCUCCAUGUUUAUUUUUUGUCUCUUUGUGUUUGUUUUGUCUCUUUGUGUUUGUUUUUUGUCUCUUUGUGUUUGUUUUGUGUCUCGUUAUGUUUGUUUUGUGUCUCUUUGUGUUUGUUUUGUCUCUUUGUGUUUUGUUUGUCUCUUUGUGUUUUGUUUUGUGUCUCUUUGUGGUUGUUUUGUGUCUUUUUGUGGUUGUUUUGCAUUUUUUUGUGUUUAUUUUGUCUCUUUGUGUUUGUUUCGUGGGUCUUUGUGUUUGUUUUGUGUCUUUGUGAUAGUUUUGUGUCUCUUUGUGUUGGUUUUGUCUCUUUGUGGUUGUUUGUGUCUCUUUGUGGUUGUUUGUGUCUAUUUGUGUUUGUGUCUCUUUGUGGUUGUUUUGUCUCUUUGUGGUUGUUUUGUGUCUCUUUCUGGUUGUUUUGUGUCUCUUUGUGUUUGUUUUGUCUCUUUGUGGUUGUUUUGUGUCUCUUUGUGGUUGUUUUGUGUCUCUUUGUGUUUGUUUUGUGUCUCUUUGUGUUUGUUUUGUCUCUUUGUGGUUGUUUUGUGUCUCUUUGUGGUUGUUUUGUGUCUCUUUGUGUUUGUUUUGUCUGCCUUUGUGGUUGUUUUGUUUCUCUUUAUGUUUGUAUUGUGUCUCUUUGUGCUUGUUUUGUGUCUCUUUGUGGUUGUUUUGUCUCUCUGUGUUUUGUUUUGUCGCUUUGUGGUUGUUUUGUGUGUCUUUAUGGUGGUUUGUGUCUCUUUGUGGUUGUUUUGUGUCUCUUUUGGUUGUUUUGUUUCUCUUUGUGCUUGUUUUGUCUUUUUGUCUUUGUUUUGUCUCUUUGUGUUUGUUUUGAGUCUCUUUGUGGUUGUUUGUUUCUCUGUGUGGUCUUUUGUGUCUCUUUAUGGUUGUUUUGUCUCUCUUUGUGGUUGUUUGUGUCUCUGUGUGGUUGGUUGUGUCUCUUUAUGGUUGCUUGUGUCUCUUUGUGGUUGUUUGUGUCUCUUUGUGGUUGUUUGUGUCUCUUUGUGGUUGUUUUAUGUCUCUUUGUGGUUGUUUGUGUCUCUUCGUGGUUGUUUUGUGUGUCUUUGUGGUUGUUUAUGUCUCUUUGUGGUUGUUUUAUGUCUCUUUGUGGUUGUUUGUGUCUCUUCGUGGUUGUUUGUGUCUCUUUGUGGUUGUUUGUGUCUCUUUGUGGUUGUUUUGUAUCGUUUUGUUUUUGUUUUGUGUCUCUUUGUGUUUGAUUUGUGUCUUUGUGUUAGUUUGUUGUCUCUUUGUGUUUGUUUUGUCUCUUUGUGUUUGUUUUGUCUCUUUGUGUCUGUUUUGUGUCUCUUCGUGUUUGAUUUGUCUCUCUGUGUAUGUUUUGUCUCUUUGUGUUUGUUUUAUGUCUCUUUCUGGUUGUUUUGUGUCUUUAUGUGUUUGUUUUGUCUCUUUGUGUUUGUUUUGUUUCUCUUUGUGGUUUCUUUGUGUCUGUUUGUGUUUGUUUUGUGUCUCUUUGUGGUUGUUUUGUGUCUUUUGUUUUUGUUGUGUCUCUUUGUGUUUGUUUUGUCUCUAUUUAUGUUUUUGUUGUCUCUUUGUGUUUGUUUUGUUUCUCUUUGUGGUUUCUUUGUGUCUGUUUGUGUUUGUUUUGUGUCUCUAUGUGGUUGUUUUGUGUCUUUUGUUUUUGUUGUGUCUCUUUGUGUUUUUUUUUGUCUCUAUUUAUGUUUUUGUUGUCUCUUUGUGUUUGUUUUGUGUCUCUUUGUGUUUGUUUUGUGUCUCUUUGUGUUUGUUUCGUGGGUCUUUGUGUUUGUUUUGUCCCUUUGUGGUUGUUUGUGUCUCUUUGUGGUUGUUUUUCUCUUUGUGGUUGUUUUGUAUCGUUUUGUGUUUGUUUUGUGUCUCUUUGUGUUUGAUUUGUGCCUCUUUGUGUUUGUUUUGUCUCAUUGUGUUUGUUUUGUGUCUCUUUGUGGUUGUAUUGUCUCUCCGUGUUUAUUUUGUAUCUCUUUGUGUUUGUUUUGUCUCUUUGUGUUUGUUUUGUGUCCCUUUGUGUUUGAUUUGUAUGUCUUUGUUUGUUUUGUCUGUUUUAGUUUGUUUGGUCUCUUUGUGUUUGUUUUAUUUCUCUUUGUUGUUGUUUUGUGUCUUUUGUUUUUGUUUUGUCUCUUUGUGGGUUUUUUUUGUUGCUUUGUGGUUGUUUUGUGUGUAUUUGUGGUUAUUUGUGUCUCUUUGUGGUUGUUUUGUGUCUAUUUGUGUUUGUGUCUCUUUGUAGUUGUUUUGUGUCUCUUUGUGGUUGUUUUGUGUCUAUUUGUGUUUGUUUUGUCUCUUAGUAGUUGUUUUGUGUCUCUUUCUGGUUGUUUUGUGUCUCUUUGUGUUUGUUUUGUCUGCCUUUGUGGUUAUUUUGUUUCUCUUUAUGUUUGUAUUGUGUCUCUUUGUGUUUGUUUUGUGUCUCUUUGUGGUUGUUUUGUCUCUCUGUGUUUUGUUUUGUCGCUUUGUGGUUGUUUUGUGUGUAUUUGUGGUUGUUUUGUGUCUAUUUGUGUUUAUUUUGUCUCUCUUUGUGGUUGUUUUCUGUGUCUUUGUGGUUGUUUUGUGUCUCUUUUUGGUUGUUUUGUUUCUCUUUCUGCUUGUUUUGUCUUUUUGUCUUUGUUUUGUCUCUUUGUGUUUGUUUUGAGUCUCUUUGUGGUUGUUUUGUGUCUCUUUGUGGUUGUUUUGUGUCUCUUUGUGGUUGUUUGUGUCUCUGUGUGGUCUUUUGUGUCUCUUUAUGGUUGUUUUGUGUCUCUUUGUGGUUGUUUGUGUCUCUGUGUGGUUGUUUGUGUCUCUUUGUGGUUGUUUUAUGUCUCUUUGUGGUUGUUUGUGUCUCUUCGUGGUUGUUUUGUGUGUCUUUGUGGUUGUUUAUGUCUCUUUGUGGUUGUUUUGUGUAUAUUUGUGUUUGUUUUGUCUCCUUGUGUUUGUUUUGAGUCUCUUUGUGGUUGUUUUGUGUCUCUUUGUGGUUGUUUUGUGUCUCUUUGUGUUUGUUUUGAGUCUCUUUGUGGUUGUUUUGUGUCCCUUUGCUGUUGUCUGUGUCUCUUUGUGGUUGUUUUAUGUCUCUUUGUGGUUGUUUGUUUCACUUUGUGGUUGUUUUGUGUGUCUUUGUGGUGGUUUAUGUCUCUUUGUGGUUGUUUUGUGUCUCUUUGUGUUUGUUUUGUCUGUCUUUGUGGUUGUUUUGUUUCUCUUUAUGUUUGUAUUGUGUCUCUUUGUGGUUGUUUUGUGUCUAUUUGUGUUUAUUUUGUGUCUCUUUGUGUUUGUUUUGUGUUGCGUUGUGGUUGUUUUGUGUCUUUUUGUGGUUGUUUUUGUCUCUUUGUGGUAGUUUUGUGUCUAUUUGUGUUUGUUUUGUCUCUUUUUAGUUGUUUUGUUUCUCUUUGUGUUCGUUUUGUGUGUCUUUGUGUUUGAUUUGUGUGUCUUUGUGGUUGUUUUGUGUCUCUUUGUGUUUGUAUUGUAUCUCUUUGUGUUUGUUCUAUGUGUGUUUGUCGUCAUGUUGAGUCUCUUCCUUGUUGCUACAUGUUUCUUUUAGGGACAUUGUGCAGGUGAAGGCCAGGGGGUCCCUGAAACUUGCAGACGGACCUCCUUGUUGCUAAAAGUCGUACAUUGAUUGAUGGAUCAUAUUAUUAGUUGGUACUAUGUUUAGUCUUACAGGCAGAUGAUUGUAUCUUGAUAUAAACACAUAUUAAAUAGCUGCACAAUAUGACGGGGAAGUGAUCUGAAAGGGUUAAAAAAACCAUUUCUCAUUUCACCUCGACUUUAAGUUGAUGAAUAGCGGCAACACCCACAUUUGGAAAUCAAUCAAAUGUUUCAAAUACCA
rnacentral:lncRNA from 1 species